AAUAGAACGAAGAAAAAAGACAUGUGGUUCAUGUUCACUGAAGACGAACAUAAAGUAGUUGAAGAUCAUGUAACUACAAGGUCCCGACGUCUGCGGAGAAAUCAUAACUGGGUGUAAUGAUUUACUGAUCCCAGUCUCCUGCUCGUUCAACUGGUUGAUGGUGAAUGGACUAGUCGAGACGUGGGAACAUGUGCAAGGUAGAGGCCAUAAGCAGAUGACAGUUUUCCUACAGGAAAGUUAUACAGUUACAGAACAGUCAACAGUUCUUGAAGAUUGAGUCACCACAUUUAAAUUCAA